UGACAGAAUACAUGGCUAAUUGAGCGGGAACAAAGGCAAGUGGCAGUGAUUUAUGCAAGGGACAAGGUCACAUGAAUAGAGAAUCAUGUGAAGUGAAUAAAAACAAUGUCGGAGGGUCCCUUGAAGAUCAGUCACAACCAUGAAUUGCAUUUCUCGCCAAUAGGGACCCAGCGUGCCCUGCGAGGCGCCGCUACGUACACUGUCCCUAAACGCGUGGCUCAGCAUGUGGCUCCCUUCAUUGUACCACCACGCCACAAAGCAAGGAAGGAGUGAAAGAAUGAAGAACCAGAACGCAACGAAAACACGAGACGGUGUGACAGGCACACGCCACGUGAACGAGGGGCGAGUGGCCGUCUCAUGCACUCACCCCAACACCUCCUUCUAACCCCCCCGCGCCACGGUCAUGCGGGCACGCGACCAGCAGCAGUCAGGCAGGGGCGGCGGCGGGCAGGCAGGGCAGCGCGGUGAGGAUUAAGAGGGAGGAGCUAAUGCCUGAGAAGAAGGGAGACGAA